rnacentral:siRNA from 1 species
CAAAGGAUGUUGCUGAACCUG